UGUAUAUAUAGAAUUGAGCUCCUAUGCUUUUAAAAGUACCAUAUUAUUGGUGCUUGUAGAUUUUUAGCCAUUGGAUUAAGAGAUAUGCGGUUAGGAUGAUGUGAGUCUUCUAGGGUUGAGUGGGUGGUUGGUUGAAUAGUAUAAUCUAAUGGUUGAAAAUGAUUCGAGAAGUAGAUCUAAUGGAAAAAAAACUUACAAGCACCAAAUGCUUUGUG
rnacentral:lncRNA from 1 species